CAAGGGCUGCUCACUUGUCUAUUGCGCUAGGUGUGCGUCCUAAUAUGGGGUGGGCUAUGUGAGGGGGCCAACAGCCGGGGGAAGCAGGGACAACACAAGGGUUAAUAACCACACUUUAACACAGCUUCUACACCAAAGUGUCUGACCUGCACACUGGACUUUAUAAAGGCCCGGCGGCUGCGAUGGCGAACCCGCUGGCGGCCUUCACCCUGAUCAAACGGCUGCAUUCAGAGUGGCUGAAUGUCAUCUGCACUGCAGCUGACAAAGUGCUGAAAGAUCAUCGCCACAGUACUGCGGUUGUGUAGUCGAGCCUCAGUGGAGGUUGGAGGUGUUUCUGGGUCUGAUAAAUGAGCUACAGUGGAAGGUUUACCAGACCAUUCCUGGGGUUUAACCCUUCACCUUUAAUUUCACUGACACCUCACUUCCUGGCUGUUUAUACAGAAAAUAACGGAAGCUCGUAAACUGAUAAAAUGACUAAUAAAAUAGUUCAUGCAUGAAAUUCAACUCUGUCUGAGAUAAGUAGAAUGAUUCAUGGCAGAAACUACACUUGUAGCUCCAAGAACAUCCUCAUUUACUGUUCUCUAGCUGUAAUUUGAUUUAAUUUCAUUCAAUCUUUUAAAACAACAUUGCUCAGCCAAUCUGCCAUCUGUAAAUGUAUUCAUCAUUGGAUAAUUGAUUGAGAGCUGCCAUCUUCUGGUGGAACCUCCACAGAAAUGGUGAGGGAGACGUCGACACCCUGCACGCCGGCUGCCCCGUGCUCAGUCAAGAACAACUGCUGUAUAUCACUAAAGAAUAUAUAAUCAUAAACAUUUCAUGAAAGUCUUAUUUUUAUACCAUCAGGACUGCGUCAGUGAGACCCAGCAACUCUGGAUCCUGCAGUAAUGGACUCACUGAGAGAGAGACUCAGCUUCACUGACUGUAGUGACAUCUACAGCUCACAAAGCGUCGCCUGCAUUGACGUCAGCACUGUGAGCUGAAGUAAGAAGCACUGCUGCCAAAAACACUUUGCUCAACAGUUCACAAACUGCACUGAACGAGUCUGGUCCAGCUCACGUGGAAGUGUCCUCUCAGCAGAAUCCUCUCAGUGCCAGCGAUCGAUACGAGAGCCGCCCCCGUGACAGCUGGAAACGGCUCAGUUGAGUGACAGCACCACAUCAGCAGGAAAUAAAUAGUUAGAUAGAUUAAUUAAAAAUACUUUAACUUAAACAAAAUUUGUCCACGUUUUUCAAUUCUGUGCUGAAGCUAUCUGUUUAUUUUCAUAAGAAAAUAUGUCCUGUUGCACAAUGUGUUCAUGCACCUGUCGUACAUGUGAGGUCGACGAUGUUCAUGAUUUUCACCACACAGGGCAAACAGGAUGGAGAAAUAAUGCAGCUGGUCAAACAGGUUCUCUUAAUAUCCUGGUUUAAUUCUGAUCCUCUACAUACUGGUUUACAUACAACUUUGCUGCAGCUGGACAACAGAACCACACUGCUGCAGUGACAGAUGGCACUCGGUCAUAUUAAAGGUUCAGUGUGUAAGAUUUAUGUGAAAGGGAUCUAUUGGCAGAAAGUGAAUAUAAAAAAUAAUCCAAGUGAUGUUUUCACUAGUGUUUCAUCUAAAUUGUAUGAAUUGUUGUUUUCUUUACUUUAGAAUGAGCCGUUUAUAUUGAAACAGUUUAUAUUUAAAUA